UACAGAGACCUCAAGCGUUAUCCGGAUUUAUUGGGCGUAAAGCGUCCGCAGGUGGUCUGGCAAGUCAGGGGUUAAAACCUACCGCUUAACGGUAGGAUCGCCUUUGAUACUAUCAGACUCGAGUAUGGAAGAGGUAAGCGGAAUUCUCGGUGUAGUCGUAAUAAGCGUUGAUAUCGAGAAGAACACCAAAUGCGAAGGCGGCUUACUGGUACAUUACUGACACUCAGGGACGAAAGCGUGGGGAGCAAACAGG
rnacentral:rRNA from 1 species